GGGUCUAUGGUGUAAUGGUUAGCACACUGGACUUUGAAUCCUUCAAUCUGAGUUCAAAUCUCAGUAGAACCU
rnacentral:tRNA from 1 species